UACGUAGGGUGCAAGCGUUGUCCGGAAUUAUUGGGCGUAAAGAGCUCGUAGGCGGUUUGUCGCGUCUGCUGUGAAAUCUGGGGGCUCAACCCCCCCAGCCUGCAGUGGGUACGGGCAGACUAGAGUGCGGUAGGGGAGAUUGGAAUUCCUGGUGUAGCGGUGGAAUGCGCAGAUAUCAGGAGGAACACCGAUGGCGAAGGCAGAUCUCUGGGCCGUAACUGACGCUGAGGAGCGAAAGCAUGGGGAGCGAACAGG
rnacentral:rRNA from 1 species